rnacentral:hammerhead_ribozyme from 1 species
GCACUACUGAUGGGUCCCAAAAUUGGACGAAACGGCCGUCCAGUGC